rnacentral:rRNA from 1 species
AUUGAACGCUGGCGGCAGGCCUAACACAUGCAAGUCGAGCGGGGUUUUCGGACCUAGCGGCGGACGGGUGAGUAAUGCGUAGGAAGCUGCCCGAUAGAGGGGGAUACCAGUUGGAAACGACUGUUAAUACCGCAUAAUGUCUACGGACCAAAGUGUGGGACCUUCGGGCCACAUGCUAUCGGAUGCGCCUACGUGGGAUUAGCUAGUUGGUGAGGUAAUGGCUCACCAAGGCGACGAUCUCUAGCUGGUUUGAGAGGAUGAUCAGCCACACUGGAACUGAGACACGGUCCAGACUCCUACGGGAGGCGGCAGUGGGGAAUAUUGGACAAUGGGCGCAAGCCUGAUCCAGCCAUGCCGCGUGUGUGAAGAAGGCCUUCGGGUUGUAAAGCACUUUCAGCGAGGAGGAAGGGUGGUGUGUUAAUAGCACAUCAUUUUGACGUUACUCGCAGAAGAAGCACCGGCUAAUUCUGUGCCAGCAGCCGCAGUAACAC